AUGGUGCUAAAUCUUAAGAGCUUCUUUUUGCUACUUUCACUAUUAUUUUUUUGCCUCCGAUUACGCGAGGCAAACAAAGAACUAGUGGAAGUAGCAACGGGAAGCUUGCUAAGUGCAAAGAGUUACCCCCAGACCAAAUGUAUUGACAUUAAUGUAACAACAGUUUUAUCCUAUAUUAGUUCAACAACCAUGGUUGUUUCUUAUAUCACACACAUACAAAUUGAAUGUUCAUGA